UAAAAAUUAUUAAGUAACACACACACACACACACACACACACACACACACACACACACACACACACACACACUGAUCAACCUAAGCUGGAAGACACUGCUCAAGUGUUUCUAGUAACUGGACAUUGUGAAAUGAGAUUUGUACUAUCCAAGGAGACUCUUCUCUAUAAUAAUACAGGGGAGAUCUGUAGGAAGGCCACAGUCCACACUGCCCUAAGGCCACUGAACAGUCCCAGACAGCAGGCAGCUUGCUUCUUCCCUCCUCGCAGAGCCAAAGACUCGGGGCUGCCCUGAUUCUGUCUCUCAUUAGGUACUUGGUAAGCUGGGCUUCCCCAUGACUUUCUUCACUGCUGGAGUGGCCAGCAAGGAGGGCAGGGGUCCAGGUGCCCUCUGUCUAGUUCAGAGGGAGGCCAGGGAAUUGUUCUCUCAUUAUUCUAUUAGCCAGCCUAAGGUCUGCAGGGGCCCCCACCCCCUACUAGGCCCCGAUUGGCUCCUGCUGGUUUGACAAUCAUCCCCUGACUAAUUGCCACAGGAACUGAACCUUGGAGUUCUUCACUCUGUGCUCGGAUCAUGGCACCAGUUUGUAUUCACUCCCAUUAAAGAUCUUUUCAUCCUGAUCUACAACUUCAGCCUGCUGAGACCUUUUCAAAAAAAAAUCCUCAUUUCACCAAAUUAACUCCUCACCUUCCUCCUUGAAUAAGGCAAUUUCUAUUUCUUCUAUCUUCUGUCAAUUUCUUGGAUCACUCACAGGUGUUUCUAAAGUUGCCUGUGCAGUGUUUUACCGAUCUAAACUAGAGUGCCACUGUUAUUAACUGACCAUUACCAAGAGCUUUGUCAAGUCAGGGCUUUUCCCCAAGCAUGUCCUGUUCCAAUCUGAAAGCACCCGGAUAGGUCACCUCAUUUUAUAUGCAUCACAGUGCCUUGUUGUACUGCACUUCAUAAACUUGGUUUGCUUUGAGGCAGGGUCUCACUAUUUAAGAAAGUCUGGACUAGAAUUCCUGGCAAUCCACCUGCCUCGAGCCUCCUGAGUUACCAGUAGGACUAAAGGCAUGCUCCAGAGUGCCUGGCCUGUUUGCUUGUGCUUUGCUUUACUUUGUAUGAAAUAGAUGUGCACAUGCAAAGUGUAUAGAAAGCCAGAGGUCACUCCAGAUGUCAUCCUUAAGAAUACCAUCCUCUUUUCACAGUCUCAUAUUGGCCUGGAGCCCACUCAUGAUGCUUGAAUGACUGAUCAGUGAAGCCUAGGGGAGUCCCCAGGACUGGGAUUACAAACCUAUGCUAUCACAUCUGGAGUGUCCUAGGGACAGAAUGCAGGUCCUCAUCCUUGCAAGGCAAGCGCUUCUGAGACUGAACCACCCCUGUACCUAAACUGUAUCUUAAAAUGCAUAAAUGAGGGAUGCUCACCCAAUCCAUGCCACAACCCCAUCGCUGUGUGAUUCUAUGUUUAUGUGUGAAAAAGAAUCUGAGUGCUUAGGACUCAGACAGAGUUGCUUGCCUGUAGUUACAUGGAACAAACGCCAUGAAGCAUGCCUUGCAAGAGAUGAAAGCAUUCAAGACAGACACACAGCGACACUACUUUAAGCAGAGGUUCUGCCUCUCUCUCUCUCUCUUGUGUCCCACUAGUAUGGACCACAGCUCUCCAAUCAUCUCCCUCUCCUCUCGGCCUUCUGUUUCUCCUUCCUGCAAAAACAAAUGUGGCUACAGAAAUUUCCAAAUUAAAACCUGGCAAUGGUUUCUAUAUUCUUGUUUCCUAAACCUAUAAAUCAAAACUGUCUAAACAGGUCAUAAAUGUUCCUCAGCCAUAUAAUGGGGGAAGUUCUGAUUUAUGGGGCCGGUAGAAUAAUUUUAAAUAAUUACAUAAGGGUUUUUCAAAAAAUGCAAUUAACACCUUUAGAAGUUUUUUUUUUUUUGAAAUGAAAAUGAAUCUCUAGAGAUGACUGUUCCCAUACAUAAAGAUAGCCAGCGAAAAAGUAAAAAUACAGCUUCAAGAUGCAAUUUUUUUAUAAAUGAUCGGAAACAGGGCAGAGGAGUGGCUAUUUACAAUGUGAGUUCUUUAGCAUGACCACCCCCAUCAGCAUUCAGCUCUGUCACAUCACCACACAAGAGCAACGAACCCAUCACAUGUCACUUCUGAUGCUCAGGAAGAAAUCACCAAAUAAACAUCCUGCUUCUCUCCAGCCCCAGCUGAUGCCCAGCUCCCUCUGUACUGGUUUGACACAUCCUACCACACUGUCCUUUGGAACACUCUAGAUCCUCCUACCUGCUCUUGCAAAUCUGCCCAAUGUUCUUUCCUUCCUCUUGAUCUUGUGAUUCAUCUCUUCCAAGUCCAGGGUCUACAAAUGAAAUCACUCCAAAUAGCUUCCAUUAACCCUAACUCCCCUGGGUACUAAAAGCAGUCUUAUCAGCUUUGGAUUUCCCUUUUUCAGAAUUACUGAGCAGUAUUAAUUAGGACUGUUCAAUGGAUCGAGUUUCCAAGCUCACAGAAUAGAGAUCUUUCUGUCACUCCCUAUUUUUCACUCUACUACAACUCUUGCUUAUGUUUUUAAUAUCUGCAGUGUAUUAACCCCCAGAAGAAGUACAACAGAGGACCCCAGAUGAAACCUUGAAGAAAUUAUUAUUUCUUUGUGUUUUGCAUUUUCUUCUCAAUCGUAUUGUAUGAGAACAGUGCUUGCAAACCCGAGGACCUGAGUUCCGAUCCCUGGACCACAGGGAGAUCGGGAAGCAGAGCAACCACGGGAAGCAUGACAAGGAGGUCUCACUGCUGCACAGAACGCAUGCCGGCCGUCACCAAGCUUCGUUCUUCUAAUGUUCUUCCAGAAGGAAGUCUCUCAAACCCUGCCAUACUCGACCUGUCACCGAUUUUUAUAUUUCUUAUCAGGGUACACCUACAAUGCCAUUUUAAAAUUCAAUAAAGUGCCUUCUAUUCAUGAA